AUAGGCAAACGAAAAGCAGGGUAAGGAAAGAAAGAAAGAAGAAAGAAAAGAAAAAGGGAGAAUUAGGGUUUGAAGGUUUGAAAGUUUAAUAGGUAAGUUAAUUUAGCCCUUUUUACUUAAUUUUAAUGUUUUAAAAGCUUUAGAACAAAGUUUUGAUGAAAUUAAAUUAAUAUUUUGAAAGUUAUUAGAAUUCUAAAUAUUGUUCAUGUUGAAUAAUAAAAAAUGAAAUAGGGGUUUAAUUGAAUGAAAUUCAAGUUAAAAUAGAUAUAAGGAUCGAAUUGCAAAGUAAGCUAUAAGUUUUGUAUUUUAGGGACUAAAUUGAGGAAAAUUUCGGAAUUAAGAAAAUAUGUUGAAAAUUUAAUAGUUAAAAUUGAGUUUAAAUGAAAUUUGAAUAGACAUAAGGUGUGAAUUGGUGUUAUAAAUUUGGUUAUUAACAUUUUACAUCAAAACAGUUUUGAAAAGUAGCAAUGGUCUGACUUUGAAAAUUCACUAAAAAUUGUAUACAUUGAACUAGAGGAUGAAAAAAAUAUGUAAUUAAAGCUUAUUGAGUCUAGUUUUUUAUAGUAUAAAUAUUGUAAGCAAUGAAUUGAUGAAUCAAGAGAUAUUUGAAAUUUUGUAAGACUGAUUUGGGGUGAUUUCGAGAUGCCCUGUUUUAACUUUGGAAAAUCAUUAUAAAUUGUAAAAAAAUUAUUAUGGAGUGUAAUUUAUAUGUGUGAACUCCUUAAUGAAUCUAGUUUCAAAAUAAGUAAACAAGAACCUUAUUCGAGUUCUGUACAAUGAAAUAAUUUAUUUUUUGUAGAGAGAGGUCAGAACUGUCAAAUGAAAUAACAGUGGAGUAUUUAAUGAAUAAACUGUACUAAUUGGCUAGACCAAAAAUUCUGAAAAUCUUAUGGUGAGAAGAUAUAUGAGUCUAGUUUUAACGAAAAAUUAUGGAUAUUAAUUUGGAGUUUCGUAGCUCAAGAUAUAAAUAAUUUAGUAACAAUGACUCAAGUAGACAGCUUAAUGGUGAAAUUAUAUAUAUACAUUAAAAAUGGUUAAAUUUGCAUGUUUAGGCUCAUGGAUUAAAUUGAAUUGUGUUAUAUUGAUGAUUAUAAAUUAUUAUUAUUUUCGUAGUUAACAAAGAACCCAAGACAUCGGCGCACAAAGAAAAGGAGAAAGCUAUCGAGGAUUAAAACGAGAAAUUCACGGUUUGUAUUACUAUAAUUCAAAUUACUUUUUAUUAAAUGUUUUAUAUCAAUUCUAUAUUUAAUAAGUGAAUUAUAAGGUAAGUAUUGAUAUUUGAGUUGAAUGAGAAUUGAAUUGAAUGGUGAAUGUGUAUGUAUAAUUGAAUUGUAAAUUGAUUUGAAUGUGAAAGUUUUAAUUGAAAAGUAAUCUUGGAAUGGAAAUGAAAGUGAAUUGAGAAUAGAAAUACCCUAUUAACUAGUCGGGCUGAGUCGGAUAUAAUUGGCAUGCCAUAGGAUAUGGAAGUGUACGAGAUUUGCCGGCUUUACUGAUCAGGCACUUUAUGUGUCGUAUUUUAGGCACCUCGUGUGUCGUAUCAGGCACCUCGUGUGUCGUAUCAGGCACCUCGUGUGUCGUUUUAGGCACUUUAUGUGUCGUUUACUGAUCAGGUACUAUGUACCGUUUUAGGCACAAUGUGCCGUAAUGGUGUGUUGGGUUGGAAUCCGUGUAUCCGUCAAAGUCCAGAUUUGUUAAUAGGGUGAAUAUCUAAGAUGAGAAAUUUAAAAUAAAUUGAUUGAUUAUAUUAUUGAAUAUUGAAAGAAACGAAAAAGUUGAAUAGUGGAUUGAAAUUGAGAUUGAAAAUGAAAGGCAUGAACUUAAUGUUCAUAUAGUGAUUGAAAUUGUUACAUGUAAUAUGUGAUGGAAACUGAAGAAUAGAUAAAAAAAAUUGUAUCGUUAUUAUUAAUUAAUGAAAGUUUAAGAAUGAAUUGAUAUUUGUGAAAUUAGAUAGUUACAUGUUUGGUAAUUAAAAUUCUUUAUUGCUAUUAUAAUUUGAAUUAUGGUAAUACCACUGAGUACGGAAUACUCAGCGUGCGGUUGUUUCUGUGCGCAGGUUAAUAGGAGUCUGAUACCCCGGUCCAGCAUCUGAACGAUCCUGACUCCAGCAAAUUUUGGGUGAUGUUUUCUUUCUUAAUUGAAAGUGGCAUGUACUAGGUGAUUUAUAAGUUAUAUAGAUAUACUUGUAAAGUUAGUUAUAAGAAUGGUAUACCAUAUUUUGUUAUUAGUUUGAUAAAAUGGUAAAUAUUAUAUUAUAUAAUUUGGUAUAAGUUGG
rnacentral:lncRNA from 1 species